rnacentral:rRNA from 1 species
GACGUAGGGCGCGAGCGUUGUCCGGAUUUAUUGGGCGUAAAGAGCUCGUAGGCGGCUUGUCGCGUCGACUGUGAAAACCCAUGGCUCAACCAUGUGGUCUGCAGUCGAUACGGGCAGGCUAGAAUUCGGUAGGGGAGACUGGAAUUCCUGGUGUAGCGGUGAAAUGCGCAGAUAUCAGGAGGAACACCGGUGGCGAAGGCGGGUCUCUGGGCCGAUAUUGACGCUGGAGGAGCGAAAGCGUGGGGAGCGAACAGG